CGAAGUGACUGUGGUGGACCAGAUAGCUGCCUCUGCCUGCACCUUCUGUUUAUGGUUCAUUCCAACGUAUUCAUUGAGAGCCGGCUGUGAGCCAGGUCCAUACAGGACAUGCUGAUUGUCUUAGGCAGAGCGAGAUUUGCCCAAGUCUGUGACCUGGCCGAGGGCAGACCUCUCUGAGCCUCAAUUUCAUCCUGCAAAAUUCACACAUAAUCAGCACCUCCCUCCAGGAUUGGUGGAUUAGAAGAGUUGAUAGUUGAGGUAACACAAGACUGGUGUAGAGGAAACUAAUUCCGAACUUCCCCUGGGGUUCUAUUGCUGGCCCCACCUCCAAGGUUUCAGUCAUAGGGCUUGAAAAAUCCCAGGGGAGGAAGGUGGGGGCUCGUGUUCUAAAAGCAGGACCAGAGGGCAGUUUCCUCAUCUAUAAAAAGAGCUGCCCAGAAUGUGGAUGCCACCAUCAUGGACCACGUGAAGAAGGUCAUGCAGAACAGAGCAACAGGAUAGAAGGAGCCUGAGUCCCUGUCACUGAGUGGCACAGUACCUGUCCUUAAACACCUCCCCGGAUGUCUAAGCGAGAUAUAAAUAUCUAUCUUAUAUAAGCCACCUUUAUUUUGGAUUUUCAGCUGCUUACACCUGAACCUAAUGCUGAUGCACCUGCCUCAAACUAGUUAAUUACUUGGCAGUUCAAAUAUUAUAUAUAGAAUCAUCCAGGUUCUUCCCCACUAUACGUUUGCAUGGCACCAGUAGUUUUCCUGGGGAAACCGUGUCACAAUUUGUGAUUACAUUAUCGUUAACUGGCCAAUGUCAACCUCCCCAUCUUGACUGGAAGCUCUCCAGGGAGCACGGAUGUCCGUUUGCUCAUUCUUGUAUCCCAGCAUCCAGCCAGAGCCUGCACGCGGUAGGGGUGCAAUGCCUCUGUGUCAAAGGCUGGAUGGAGGCUUCCCAGGGAAGUAGGCUUUCCCACAGAACAGAGGGGCUGGGGAGGGGAGCACAUCCACAAGGAUCUCUGUGGAGACUGUUGGGGUCUGUAAGCAGACCAGGCUGCCAGUCCCAGAUGAUCCAUCCACCCAAAAGACAGUGGGAGAUAGGGCUAAGGAAAUCCGACUGUGCUGCGAUAUGUGGGAGAGCUCUGGGUCUCUUGGACCAGAGGAGUGACUUAAUAAAAACCGAGCUUUAGGAUUACUAAUCUUGUAGGACUCUACGAUAGCCAGCCUCCAAUGGUCCUCACUGAUGUUCCCAUGCCCUUGUGUAAUCACCUCCCACAACAAGCAGGACAGACUUGGGUAACCAACAGGACAUUGCAGAAAUGACAGUGUAUGACUCCUGAGACAAAGUCAUAAAGGGCAUUGAGGCUUCCGCUCAGGCUCUCUUGAAUCACUUAUUCUGGAGGAAUCCAGCGUCUGUGUUGCAAAGAUACUCAGGCACUGUUAUAGAGGGGUCCAUGCGGCCAGAAACUGAGGCCUUCCAUCAACAGCCUUGUGAGUGAGCCAUCCCGGAAGUGGAUCCUUAGCCCCAGUCAAAUCUUCAACGCUGCAGUUCUGGCCCACAGCUUAACUACAGCCUCAUGAGAGACCCUGAAUCAGAACCACCCAGCCAAGCUGCCUCUGAAUUCCUGGAAGGAUGUGAGAUAAUAAACGUUUCUUUUAAGCCACUGAUUACUGUAGGUAAACUGUAGGUAAACUGAUUACUGUAGGUAAUCAGUUACAUGGUGGUUCAAUUAAUAUAGACUCUAUCCCCAUUUGUUUUUCUACCAGCACCUUCUCCCUGCCUUCCUUCGCCUCACCCCAACUGGUCAGUCAGCACUCUGGCUGAGCGACCUGGACACAUUGCCUAACUAGCUGGGCGUCUGAGUAUGAAAUGAAGGCUAAUAACACCUCAUCUGUGUCAGGAAGCCUCUAAACUCGCCACCCGAAUCAAUCCACCCCCUGGUAUUCAUAUCCUUGUGCAAUCCCCUUUCUUAGAGUGUAAACUGGAUUUACUGACUCACUUCUAAUGAACAGAAUGUGGCAGGAGUAAUGGCAUGUUACUCCUAAGACGGAGUUACAAAGAGAUCGCGGCUUCUGUCUUGGGCACUCUUGCUGUCACUCACAUCAGCGGCCCGGGGUGAGCCAGCAGCCAUGUGGUAAGGCAGCCCUGUGGAGAAGCCUGUGUGAGUUAGGCCGAGUGUGAGAGGGCCAAGUGUGAACCUCCUGAGGCUUGACCAAAACCUUGUGCGUGAGCUCGGGAAUGGAUUCUGCAGCCUCAGCCAAGCCUUGAGAUGACUGCGGCCCUGGUGGACAGCUCGAUUGUGGCCUCACGAGAGACCUUGACCCGGAGGUGUCCAGCCGAGUUCUGCUUGGAUCCUGUGAGAUAACAAAAUGUUUGUUGCUCUAAGCCACCAGGUGUGGGGCGGUUUGUUAUAAAGCGGAACAAAUACAUGGUCCUAAAACCUUGCUGUGAAGAUGAAGUAACAUGUGCCUGGCACACAGUAGGUGCUAAUUAAAUGCUUGCUAAAUCAAUCAAUAAA